GUUGCUGUGACUUUCUGGAUGCCAGCCACCUACAGCAGUUAGUUGGUAACAUUUUGAACUCUGUUUUAGUUAUUCACUCUGAAAUUUGCCAAGCAUCUUAAAAAAGGAAAGACUGACAAUCUGGUAGGAGUGAAUGUCUGGAAAUAAAUGAAGACUCUUCACCUUUCUUCAUGAUUGCUGCAUAUGACAGAGGGUGAGGAAAUUGCCGAGAAGGACUGAAAGGGAAAAAUUUAACUUAUUUUGGGAUAAAUAUUAAUUUGAUGUUUGAGGCAGCUGGGCAUGAUACAGGUUGAACACCCCUCAGUUCCAGGGCCUUGGAGAAAUUAACCUCCAGCGGCUUGCCAGUGCCUUUGGUGAGCUUCAGAGAUCGGAUGCAACCACGGAACCGAAUGUUGGUGGUCAGGCCAAACUGAUUGAGGCCAUCUGGAAAGACAGAACAAGAGAUUUCAGGCAGAAGAGCUUUGCAUAAGGGAGAACAAAAAUUGUCCUUUCAAAAUGAUGGCAGCUCGCUUCAGGUGUCUGUAUUGUCUACAUGUUGGUCAUGAAGAAACAGUGGCCUCAUUGCUCAGUUUGCCCCUCUUGUUCAUGGACUCUAGAAAAACCACUGAAGAGAGUUCAACAACAACAACAAAGAACCCAAUCCACACAGAAAGCUUCUGCCACACAUCUUUUUAGAGGGAAAAAUAUCUGGGUGCUUGUAAGUGAAAUUCGGAAGCUGGUCAGUGUCACUGGGGAGAUGCUCCCCCUUUACUUUUGCACGACUAGUUUUGCAGACUAGGUGAAUAGAGAGAACGGAUGUCCUUGGAAUAUGAUACUAAGACCCAAGUAACCCUAAACACUUGGUACACAAUUGGCCAGAACAACUGUGGUGUGAACUGACACAUUGGAAGUACAGGCUGGUGAACAGGAUUCCGGUGAUAAACGUACACAUGGAUUGUGAUGACCCAGCAAUGAAGAAACUGGCAAGACCUGAAAAGAGAGCUGAGAGGAUGAGCUGUGUUUGGGCUACGGCCACUCACCUUCUCGUCAAUCAUUUCGAUACCCAGCCCAUCCAUUUUCUGACUGCUGAUUCCCAAGAGAACACCAGUGGGUCUUGUGGUACGGAAUUCAAAUUCUACAAGAAGGUCCAAUCCCACUUUGAACCCACCAACUGGGGGAAAAAAGUAUUGAUUAGAGUUCGAUAAUUUUACUCUGUAGCCUCACCAGUAGUAUACUUUAUCACUAUCUAUUGCUUGUUUCUCUUGGCUGCUGAUGUGACAGGCAGGACUUUAUCUAUACUACUGCUAGUUUUACUCUUGGAACUGUCCAAGAACCUAGCACACAGUGAAACUUUAAUGGUUGAGUUAAGUGAAUGAGUGAGCACAUAGUGGGACUGCACCAUUGAACAACCAAAUGGUUGAGCACACACUAAGCCUGAAUCAAGGACUCUGGAAGGCAGGUAUGAUUAUUUCAGAAGUCUGUUGGGUUAAGCACAGCAUUUCAACGAUUACUCAGUAAAAUUUUAUUGAGACACUCUAAGUGGCCCUACAGAUUGGAGCGAGUUUAAACAGUCUUAAAUAUUUCAUUAAAUGAAGAGAAGAGUUGCAGAUAUGGAAAUAUUUUAAGACAUAAUCUUUUCUAUUUAACCCAGCCAGUUCUUUUCUCUGGACUUUUUAACAUUUGGUUCAUGGAUUUAUUCAGCCUUUAAAUAAGAAUUUAAGAUAUUUCACUUAGGUAUAAAAUGAUUUCCUAAGAUCAGUUAAGACUACAUAAAGUCCACAGAAUAUUAGGAAAGCACUCAAGAAAAUCCUCACUGCACCUUUCAUUUACUGUGCAAGCAAUAAAUAUCACAUGCGAGCACACAUAUCCCCAGUGAAGGGUGGCACUUGUGAUGUGCUAGAUGUUUUGUUCUCCUGAGAAUUUUGAUGAGUUUGCAAGGGAAAGGGUGAUGGAUCUUAAGCAAUUUUUUCAAGUAAAGGGCAGAAGGAGCUGAAUUGUUCUGGAAAAUAAAACAGCAAGAGAUAAGCAAAAAGAAGACAGGAAUGAUGUAAGGCAUUUCAAUGAAGACACAGGUAGUGCAGCAUCCCAUAAAAUGUCCAGCGACGGGGUGACUGGCAAGCUUUUAAGAAUGGAGGUAUUGAAUUUAUAUGGUUUCCACUGAAGUAACCCUCAGCUCUGUUCACCCAAGUCUUCUGUGUAUUGUAUUCUGCUGUGAGCUGCCAUGAUGGGAGAGGUUGUUGGAAAUAGGAGAAAUGACUUCUUUCUUUCUUUCUUUCUUUCUUUCUUUCUUUCUUUCUUUCUUUCUUUCUUUCUUUUUCUUUCUCUCUUUCUUUUGGUUUGGUUUGACCCAGUGCCAAGAAUAGGUAGGAGGAUGACAUGUCAAUCCAUUAGCUACAGAUGUCAGAGCCUGGCAUCAAGCCUGGCUAAGAGAGUGGUCUGGCAGCCACUUGUGAAUUUGUAGAAAUCUUGAGAAAGCUUUUGACUUUCACAGCACUUGAAUUCUGGGUUCCAUCAUAUCCUCCAGUGUUUCAGCACCUAACAAAUUUUCUCUUUUUUGGAAUUCUCUUUCUACAGAGGUAGUGUUUCCUCCCUAGACCAUGUUGGAGCAUUCUGAUAUCCACUUGCACAGCUUUUAUAUGGAAGUAUUCAAUUCAUAUAAUAAAGCUUUUCUCACAUA